GAUCUGCCAUCCCCGCGGCUGUGGAGACGGAAAUUCAGUUGAUCCACUAUUAUAAGAAGUUAUAAAACGAACCAGAUAUUUUUUGUGGUCAAUAUACAUUGGAAAAAAAAAGAAAAAAAAAAAAGAACCAUCAGUAAUGACGAAGCGGUCCCGCGGAGUGCUACUACACACUGCUGCCGUGACUCUUACCCUCGGGGAUGCCAGCCUUGAUAGGACACAGCCUCUGCGUCCAUCACUGGUGUUCACUCUGGCCAGGUGCACUCAUUAACGCCUGCCGGAGAGCAAAGAACAGCAGGCCGGGCAGUGUCGCAGCGUUGCCUCCACGGUGCUGGUGUGGCAGGCGCUGGCGUGGUGGCUUAUACGGGACAGUGAGACAAAUAAGCCAUGAAAGAACGGGGAAUCUUGAAUUGAAACCUGUGCUGUGCCUUAAAUGACCCACCACCCACCCUUCGUCGCCACCACCACCACCACCAUCACCAUCACCACCUGCCGCCACCACCACCACCUCAUCGACAUCAGAUCACCGCUACUACUGCGACUUCUACUACCACUACCACCACCGCCAC